GGAAGGCGGGGACCGAAAGGCCUCGCGCUGGAGGAGCGGCCGAUGUCCGAUUAGCUAGUUGGUGAGGUAAAGGCUCACCAAGGCGACGAUCGGUAGCUGGUCUGAGAGGAUGAUCCGCCACACUGGGACUGAGACACGGCCCAGACUCCUACGGGAGGCAGCAGUGGGGAAUUUUGGACAAUGGGCGCAAGCCUGAUCCAGCCAUGCCGCGUGCGGGACGAAGGCCUUCGGGUUGUAAACCGCUUUCAGCCGGAAAGAAAUCGCCAAGGCUAAUAUCCUUGGUGGAUGACGGUACCGGAAGAAGAAGCACCGGCUAACUACGUG
rnacentral:rRNA from 1 species